rnacentral:rRNA from 1 species
GACGAACGCUGGCGGCGUGCUUAACACAUGCAAGUCGAGCGGUAAGGCCCUUUCGGGGGUACACGAGCGGCGAACGGGUGAGUAACACGUGGGUGACCUGCCCUUAGCUCUGGGAUAAGCCUGGGAAACUGGGUCUAAUACCGGAUAUGACUCCAUAACGCAUGUUGUGGGGUGGAAAGCCUUGUGCGGCUAGGGAUGGGCCCGCGGCCUAUCAGCUUGUUGGUGGGGUGAUGGCCACCAAGGCGACGACGGGUAGCCGGCCUGAGAGGGCCGACCGGCCACAC